rnacentral:rRNA from 1 species
CCCUUAGAUGUUCUGGGCCGCACACGCGCUACACUGAAGGAGGCAGCGUGUACUCCUGGAUCGAAAGAUUUGGGUAACCCGCGAACCUCCUUCGUGCUAGGGAUUGAGGUUUGCAAUUAUCCUUCAUGAACGAGGAAUUCCCAGUAAGUGCAAGUCAUAAGCUUGCGCUGACUACGUCCCUGCCCUUUGUACACACCGCCCGUCGCUACUACCGAUUGAAUGAUUUAGUGAGGACUUCGGACUGGGACCGAUGCGGCUUUCGGGCUGCGUCGGUAUUCUGGAAAGAUGUCCAAACUGUAUCAUUUAGAGGAAGUAAAANUCGUANCA